rnacentral:rRNA from 1 species
UGGGGAAUUUUGGACAAUGGGCGAAAGCCUGAUCCAGCAAUGCCGCGUGUGUGAAGAAGGCCUUCGGGUUGUAAAGCACUUUUGUCCGGAAAGAAAUCCUUGGCUCUAAUACAGUCGGGGGAUGACGGUACCGGAAGAAUAAGCACCGGCUAACUACGUGCCAGCAGCCGCGGUAAUACGUAGGGUGCAAGCGUUAAUCGGAAUUACUGGGCGUAAAGCGUGCGCAGGCGGUUUGCUAAGACCGAUGUGAAAUCCCCGGGCUCAACCUGGGAACUGCAUUGGUGACUGGCAGGCUAGAGUAUGGCAGAGGGGGGUAGAAUUCCACGUGUAGCAGUGAAAUGCGUAGAGAUGUGGAGGAAUACCGAUGGCGAAGGCAGCCCCCUGGGCCAAUACUGACGCUCAUGCACGAAAGCGUGGGGAGCAAACAGGAUUAGAUACCCUGGUAGUCCACGCCCUAAACGAUGUCAACUAGUUGUUGGGGAUUCAUUUCCUUAGUAACGUAGCUAACGCGUGAAGUUGACCGCCUGGGGAGUACGGUCGCAAGAUUAAAACUUAAAGGAAUUGACGGGGUCAUAGCUUUUUCC